rnacentral:rRNA from 1 species
GAACGCUAGCGACAGGCCUAACACAUGCAAGUCGAGGGGCAGUCGGGGUGUAGCAAUACGCUGCCGGCGACCGGCGGAGUGGGUGAGUAACGCGUAUGCAACCUGCCUUCAGCGAGGGGGAUAGCCCGUUGAAAGACGGAUUAAUACCCCGUAACACAGGGGCUCCGCAUGGAGAUUAUUGUUAAAGGGAUGCUUCCUUCGGGGAGUAUUCUGGCUGAAGAUGGGCAUGCGUUCCAUUAGGUAGUUGGUUGAGGUAACGGCUCACCAAGCCUGCGAUGGAUAGGGGAACUGAGAGGUUGGUCCCCCCACACUGGUACUGAGACACGGACCAGACUCCUACGGGAGGCAGCAGUGAGGAAUCUUGGUCAAUGGACGGAAGUCUGAACCAGCCAUGUCGCGUGAAGGAGGACGGCCCUAAGGGUUGUAAACUUCUUUUGCAGGGGAAUAAAGUAUUCCACGAGAUGGGAUAUUGCAAGUACGCUGCGAAUAAGGAUCGGCUAACUCCGUG